rfam:Aureobasidium namibiae CBS 147.97 unplaced genomic scaffold scaffold_8, whole genome shotgun sequence.
GGUGAUGUGGUGUAGUGGUAGCAUGUGUCGUUGUGGAGGUUAAAUUCCAGCAACGCCGACCCGACGGCGGUUCGAUUCCGCCCAUUGCCA